AGCUACUUCCUGCUGUCCCAGAGGGAGUCUAGGCUAGGAGACGCAUGGCCUCUUGUUGAGCGGCUCCCAUGGCCCAGCAACAGGUGAAAACAACUUUCCGCCUGCUUGGGUUUUUCACCUUGAGGGAAAGCUUUUAAGAACAGGAGAUCAUUUCCAGUGUUUAGGAUCAAGUAAGGCACGAACAAACUCAAACUGAACUCACUCAAACAAUCAACUUUAACUUGACUAGAAGAGUCAAGCCUGAGGUAGAGGAGGGAAGGAGCCAGGCAAGCAUCUUGAUCUGUAUCUCUAGCUACCAACACAACAGCCUGAAGAGCACAGAGUUUAAAGCAACCUACAGAGAGGAGAAGGAUUGACUAGAGACGUCACCAGCUGAACGUCUGUUCCAGAACACCUCAGCUUCUUGGCCACCCAGAGAGACAUUCCAGCUGAGGAGAAAGCAAGAGCCUCACUGCAGAGCCUCAAGGAACAAGGGUGUUCUGUCUCCUCUCGCCUCUACGCUUUGGCUAAAGGGGAAAAAGUUUCCACUUUCGUCCUAUGGAUCGUGUGAAAAAAGGCUCUGUAUGAAGUGUCCACAGUGUGUGCACAGACACCGGCAGCUAGCAGGGUGUAGCCCCGGACUGGUUGGGCUCCUCAUAAAUUAUAAAUGAUUUAUGAUGUCCUUCUGGGCACGGCGUGACAGCCAUGGAGCCCGCAUUCAAGCGAGGGCAGAGCAUAUGCCACCAGCUCCUUUCAGUGGAUGCUUGGCCAGGAUUUCCUGGUACUCUGGAAGUAUGUGGGAGAGAAAAUCAUCGUGUGGUCAACAAGCCACUUGUGUUUUCUCUUGGCAGGGAAAGAGGGUCCUAGUGCUUGAUUCUAACACCGUUUAAUGACUGGACAAAAUAGAAGAGUAAACAGGAGACCCGAAUAAGCGUGCCUUGUUAUCUUCCCGGUUCGGAGUCAUGAAUGGGCUUGCUGUAAAGCUGUGACAGAAACACAGAAAAGCGCUUGUCCUAUCUUGGAA